rnacentral:rRNA from 1 species
UACAGAGGGUGCAAGCGUUAAUCGGAAUUACUGGGCGUAAAGCGUGCGUAGACGGUUACAUAAGUCGGGUGUGAAAGCCCCGGGCUCAACCUGGGAAUUGCAUUCGAGACUGCGUAGCUAGGGUGCGGAAGAGGGAAGCGGAAUUUCCGGUGUAGCGGUGAAAUGCGUAGAUAUCGGGAGGAACACCGGUGGCGAAGGCGGCGACCUGGGUCGAGACUGACGCUGAGGCGCGAAAGCCAGGGGAGCAAACGGG